UGCUCUCAAAGUUCAGCCGCCGAGAAAAAAGAGAGAGGUUUGUGUGGUGCCUCCUUCUAUGGUGGAGAUGACUGAAGAAGAAGAGCAGCUUCGUUUUCACUUUCAGAAUCUUCCCAGGUAUGUUCUUGCUUUUUUUUUUUUUCUUCUUUUGAAAUUAUCCAGAUUUGGGUUCUUAAUUCGAUUCGAUUAUAUGAAGAUACUGGUACCCAACCCUUCACCACUUUUCUCUUCUCUUUUGGCAUUAGAAAAAGCCAUUUAUUAACGGCAGUAUUAAAUUCAAGGUUCAACUUGAACAUGAGUAGUGUUUCAAAGAGGAAAGACAAAUCUGGUGAAUAUAGCCAAGCUAUGGGGAAAUGGCUCUAACUUACUGUGACAGAGUUAGGAAAAUGUGAUUGCAGGACACUAUGCAUAUCCUUUUCAAUAAGAAACUCUAAACUUUACUUUGGUUUUGGUUUUAAUAUGUGAGAUUAGGAAAAAGGCAUGUUAUGACUGAGACGAUUGAGAAUCAUAUCCCAGGAGGUGAAGAAGAACGCAGCAGUACGGCUCUUGUCACUGUACGAUGAGAUAAGGCCAGCCAUUAAAGAGCAUGAAAGAGAUGGCCAAGACUGGCAACAAGUGUGGCGGAGAAAUGGAUACAAGCAAGCUGUAAUAAACAUAGAGUUUGAUCUAUAAUCUAGUGUAAUUAAGAAUUCAUUCUUUAUUUAAUUAAAAAAGUGGGGAAAGUAAUUUAUUUUGAA